rnacentral:tRNA from 1 species
GCGCGUUUAGCUCAGCGGGAGAGCGCUUCCCUGACACGUAAUAGGUCACAGGUUCAAUCCCAGUAUCGCGCACAA